CGCAAGCCUGAUGCAGCCAUUGCCGCGUGUAUGAAGAAGGCCUUCGGGUUGUAAAGUACUUUCAGCAGUGAGGAAGGUGGAUAUGUUAAUAGCAUAUUCAUUUGACGUUAGCUGCAGAAGAAGCACCGGCUAACUCCGUGCCAGCAGCCGCGGUAAUACGGAGGGUGCGAGCGUUAAUCGGAAUUACUGGGCGUAAAGCGCAUGCAGGUGGUUUGUUAAGUCAGAUGUGAAAGCCCGGGGCUCAACCUCGGAAUUGCAUUUGAAACUGGCAAACUAGAGUACUGUAGAGGGGGUAGAAUUUCAGGUGUAGCGGUGAAAUGCGUAGAGAUCUGAAGGAAUACCGGUGGCGAAGGCGGCCCCCUGGACAGAUACUGACACUCAGAUGCGAAAGCGUGGGGAGCAAACAGGAUUAGAUACCCUGGUAG
rnacentral:rRNA from 1 species